rnacentral:lncRNA from 1 species
UUUCUUUUCUUUUCUUUUCUUUUCAUGUCUUCUUUCUGAAUAGUAGUAUCAUAAAAAACCCAGAUGUCAUCAGAUGAUGAGAUUACAGCUCUUACAAAGACACCUGACAGUGAAGAAGAAAUGAAAAGGAUCAUGACUGAGGUUGUACAGCCAAGAAGAACUCACCCAACUGAACUGCCCGGAGCAUUCCCUGAUCUUGAAAGCGCAUUAGAGUUUGUACAUUAUCAACUCAUGACAGUAGAUCAAGCUAGAACCGAAGAGCCACCAACCCAACCAAUUGAACUUACCGCUGUGACAGACAGCAUCAUGAUCACUACUAAAAGGGUACCACCUCAGGAGGGAUCAAUUGUUCCUUGUGAGUCCUCUGCAGUAUCUGAAUUUGACAUGAACCAUACAGCUGGUGCAGAACUACAGGCCUUGGCAGAAGCAGGCCCAAAUCAGAUUGCUGUUCCUGUAUGUCAGAGCCUGCCUGCAUUUCCAACUCAUCAACUAGGUGAAUGUUCAGCUGAGCCAGCACAAUCACAUGAUGUUUCAGCAUUCUUGGUGGAUAAUUAUCCAGUGACUCUGGAAGAUCUGGAGGAAUUUCAUGCAGCACAGGACUAUCUUUUGGAGCCUACUGUAAUGCCAGAUUCUGAAACCAGUCACCCGGCCUCUGAAUUUCAUGAUCUCCCAGAAAGUUCAUUGGCGGACCACCCUAAUAAUGAGGCACUGACUCAUGCAGAGCCAGAUGCAACUGAGGAAGCAAGUUGCGUUCCUCAUCAGCCAAUUGCAACCUCUCAAUUUGAAACAAAUGCAUCUGAAUUUUCCAAUCCCAUGGCUCCAUUUGCAGUAACUGAGCAGAAUGAUGUGCAAGUACAUACAAUCAGUGGAGCAAUAGGCCCAUAUCAUAGCACUGUUCCAGAAUGUCAAAACCAGUCUGCAUCACCAACUCAUCAACAUGAUGAAUCAUACACCCAACCAGCACUUGAAUCUCUUGAUAUUGCAAUGAACUUCCCAGAUAGCAACCCAGUGAGUCAAGAAGAUCUUCAAGCACUACAAGAAGCAUUGAGCUGUGUUUGUGAGCCUUCAUCACCAUCUUAUUUUGAUAUUCAUGUGCCAGCAUCUCCUAAUCUCACAGAAAGUCCAAUGGCUCACAGCCCAAUCAGUAGAUCUCUGACUGAUAAAGAAGAAAAAUGCAUUUCAGGAAUCACUCAAUCCUCCUCAUCAACCCACUGCAACAUCUCAAAGCCAACCAUCCAACAUCUGAAUUCUCCAGUCUCACAGGCAAUAUGAGUCUCCAUUUCCAUUCACCAAACAAUGAACUGAUGUACAGCUACAUGCACCCGUUGCGGCAACAUACCCAUAUCAUAAUGCCUUUUCAGAACUUCAAGACCUGCCUGCAUCACCGACUUGUCAACCAGCUGAAAUUUCAUCUCAGCCAGCAACUAGCAUCCUGAAUCUUGUGAACAUGAAGGCAUGCAUUCUUCUUUGGUGCAGGGAUAUAUGUUUACAUGUGAAAGAGUUCAAAUUCAAUUGAUUGAACUCAAAUAUGGAAACUUUUUCAUGAUUGUCAUUCCAAACUGGUGUAACUGUUCUUUUGCCGUCUGUUUGCUGCAAAAGCAUCAAACUUUGAUGUUUCGCUUCUUCAUUAUCUGUUAGUUCAUAACCAUAGCUAGAUAUAAAAAGCAUUAUUUUUUGGAAAAAAAUAAAAACAACAAAUUUGCAUUUUAGAAUUGUUCCAAAUAUUCGCUUUUUAGGUUUUAUAAAAAUAAUAAGUCAAAAGAUAAAAAAGUCAGAACUUCUGAAAAAUCUCUGUAAUUUAGGAACUAAGAACCUUGCAUUGGUUCUGUUAUUCUCCACCAUGCGGUUCAAGCCAUAAAUCCACCUGCUCAGGAUCGAGUGAGAAUCCUACUUCACAAUUCAGUUUUAUGAAUCUUUGGUAUCACUUUGGUCAACUCUAAACCCUUUUUUUGGGGUGGGCGGGGGUUGGGAACACAAUUGUCCCUGAGGUUUGGUGGGAUUACAGUGGCAUUCCCUCGUCCUUAGAAAAAGACAUGCACCUUCUUUCAGACAUGUUUUAUUGACAAAAGCUUGCCACCAUUAGUCAACCAUCAGGUCGACUAAUGAAUUUGCUACAUCAUCCCAAAAAUUUGUCAGAAAUACCUAUUUAACCUAUACUAUAGAAAAUAAUAUCACAUGGAACAAAUAAAGAAAAAUACAAAAAUAGAAUAUUAUUUCAACUCAAGUCCAGUGUCAAUAACACAAUCACUUGGUAUAGUAACAACAGCAUAAAGCAUAAUAUUUAUACUAUCGAAUGGCAUCAGUGACAGCAGCGGUAGUCAUUACAAAAGAAGUGGUGGUCGUUACAAAGAUAGGUGGUAAUAGGAAAGAAUUUACUUGAUAACCAAAUCAGCUUGGGCCCCAAAUUGAAAUCCCCAAAUCUGUUUUUUGAAGAACAGGGUAAAAUGUAAAAUCAUGCUUUGCAUUCAAUUGCACAGUUAACGACUGGAAGCUCUCUUUCAAUGACAUUAAACCUAAAGGGAGCUUAUGUCUCUUUUCAAAGAUGAUGGGAGGUUUUUCACUAAACUUCAGAAGAGAUUUUUUUUUUUUUUGAUAAAUCACUAAACUUCAGACGAGAUGAAUGCAAUGUUCUCUUUUUUGGGCCUUUUUCUUGUCGUUUUACAACCCUAAAUGUGAAUCAAGUCAGUAACAAGGUGCAUCACAAGUGGUUGAAUGAUCUCUGAAACUUACUCCAUAGAAUGCAUUCAUUUUUUCUUCUAGUUUUCUUGUGUUGUUAUUCAUAUUUCAUACACCUCAAUCUCUUCACUUCUAUUACAUACACUUCCUGAACAUGAUUCUAAGCCAUCAAGCAUUUCAUAUAGCUAGUCCUAUAGCCAGCUCAAAACAUUCUUUUUUCUUUAAAGAUGGACACGUAUAUUGAAAAGAUAAAAUAGUAAAUAACAUCAAACUAACAAAAAGAAAAAAGCCAACCCCAUACCCAACCAAAAGCAAUUAUGGUUAUCCAAACCUCAUCUUGUAUGAGGCAAAUAGGAUUUGAAAGUCAAAACUCUAAACCUGCUCGAUAUUGAUCCAAGUUUGAAAUUCCCAACAAAAAACAAAUGUGUAAUCUAAUGCAAAUUUCUCAAUCAAAUAGAAGGCACAAGGCGCCAUUUUGCUCUUUACACGGUGAUCCAAAUUCUUACAAUCAAAAGCACUUUAUUUGGCCAAGUCUAGCAAAAGCAAGAGACACUGUUUUUACCUAUGUUACAAUACUUCUCUCCUUCUUAUCAAUAAUUAAAUAAAUAAUUUUCCAGAACUUUUAAAUAAAAUGAGGAGAUAUAUCAAAAUAUAAAAUUAUUCUACUUUAGAUAUGCAGUUAAAAACAAGGGAAUUUAAGAAAGGAACUGUGACAACAUUGAAUGGGGUUAAGAUUGAGGAGACCUAAGGUUAGGGAUGGGAGUUUAGCUUACAAUGGAGACUUUGUAAGCAAGUGUUUAUGGGGAUUCCUCAAGGAACAACUUCUCUUUGGCACACUAUUAUCAAGAAUAAGUAUGGUAAUCCAAUGGAUGGGAUGCCAACUCUAAUAUCAGGAUUUUGAAUCAAAGCCCAUGGAAAACUAUCGCCUGGGUUUUCAAGCCUUCCUUCCUUAUAUUAGAUUUGUUAUAGCAAUGGAUCUAACAUCAGUUUUUAGGAAGACCCUUGGCAGGGAAUCUUCUCUUUUGUGAACCUUCCCCUCAUCUUCACACUACCUCAAAAAGAGUUAGCUCCCUAGCCUCAUUGUUGUAGUCCUAUCAAGAUUUUCAAAGGUGCUUGUCGGGCACACCUCAAGACAUGGUGUGGCAAAAACAACACUUUGAGGUGUUGAAGAAAAAGCCAAACUCUAGAAAGGCAUAUGCCUUUCACAGUGAGGUGUGGCUAAGGCACGCAUUGGAUGCACCUUUUACGCACUGGGGAUUGAGGCAUACACCUCUAUGGGUCUUUGUGUCUCAAGUGGCCAUGUUAGAAAAAAAAAACAAAAAUUGAAGAAGAUAUCAACAUUUUAACCCGAAAAUCCCAUAGAGAGUGAGUGAGAAUUGAGAAUAAAGAGGAAAAUGAAAGAAAAAUCCUAACCCUAGAUCCGUAAAAAUGCUUACCUCACAAUCGUGGCUUCUCAUUUCGAAGACACCCUCUCACUCCGACAACACCCUAUUUGCUUUGUCUCAACAGUCGGCGCCUUCUCCGUCUUGUCUCUUCCCUUUCUCCUUCAUCCUUUCUACUUUCUUCUCUAUCCGCGCCUUCUCCACCACAACUAGUUUUUUGUUUUCUUAAUCUUUUUUUUUUUUUUUUCUUGGGCAAUACCAAGAUAAUUGUUUUCUUGUUUUUACUUUUUACAUCACCACAACCACAUUUUUACAUCUUGUUUUAUUGUUUUUAGUUUGACCACUAGGACCACUUACCUUCCCUUACAAGCAUGUUCAUCCAAUUUCCAAUUU